rnacentral:rRNA from 1 species
UACGUAGGCAGCGAGCGUUGUUCGGAGUUACUGGGCGUAAAGAGUGCGUAGGCGGUUUUCUAAGUUUGGUGUGAAAUCUCCCGGCUUAACUGGGAGGGUGCGCCGAAAACUGGAAGGCUUGAGUAUGGGAGAGGUAAGCGGAAUUCCUGGUGUAGCGGUGAAAUUCGUAGAUAUUCGCAAGAACACCAGUGGCGAAGGCGGCUCACUGGCCCGAUACUGACGCUGAGGCACGAAAGCGUGGGGAGCAAACAGG